UGUGCUCAGCUCUCAUUAAGUAACAUUAUCCUGCUUCUUUUGCUUUUGAAGGGUGGAAAAGCAAGAGGUGAUGUCUAAUGCUCCCGGGCAGCAAACAAUGGGUGGGGAACGCUGAGCUGGGUGCAGCACUUGGCAAUCUUUGGGGUGCAGUGAUGAGGUGCCAGUGCUUGAUGGUAUGGAUAGAAGGGGACACGCCUCAGCCUUGUGACACGUGGGGUUAAUGGGGCAGAGCCACACCAUGUCCCUCUGAGGGGACCUGGGUGGCACUGCCACAGCAGUGUCACAUCCCAGCUCUGGGCAGGAGAGGUUCCCUUCCUGGGCCAUCCAAUCCCUCAGCUGUUACAGCUCCUCAUAACCCACAUUUUGUGAACAACCACAACUCCCACAGUGAUGUCCAUUUCAGCCCAUUCCACACAGAAGCGGAAAAAUUUCUUCCUGAGAAGGAAUUAAUGCAAGAGAAGUGGAGAUCAGUAAAUGACUACAAUAAAAAUACCCUUCAGCUUUCCUUUUUAUUCUUCCAUAUUUUUCCAGCAGCUGCUUAAAAACUGGUAUUCAGCAAUAAAAUGACCUGAUAACAUUUAGGUCUUUGAGACAUAGAUAUUUUAUUUACUGAAAAAGUGUUACUAAACCACUUUACAAAAACAUUCACCAGGCUUUGCACACUUCCAAGAAAAUGCAUACAAUUCCUCCUCUCUUUAUGCAAUCAUUGUUUGCUCCUGUUCAAGCUGACAGAUGGUAUGAAAGUUUUGCACUUGACAUCCAUAAUUGUCUUUCCCACAGGCGUGUGCUCAUCGAUGAUGUGCUCAUUGCAUCACCUCCUGACUUGGAACAUUUUUUUAAAAAGCUGUUUCACAUAUGAAAUCCUGGGAAAGCCAAAUAAGAUUUAGUUUCUCAAGCAAGGGAAAAUGUGCCGGAGAGUGUAUUGAAAUCAAGUUUCUGGCUCAGCGAGGGGAGGUGACCUGAGCUCAGUGCAGGAAAGAAGCUGUUGCUGUGGGAUUGCACCCAAGGAGCUGUGGGCCAGCCUGGAGAGUGCUGCCUUUAUGUCACACCCAGGGGACAGUGAUGAGUGAGAGGCCAAGGCUGGCUAUAAAAAGACCUUGCAGCAACUGGUUAAAGCACAUCUUGGCACUAUUAAUGGAUACAGAAGGGACAUGGGUCAAGAAGCUCUUUGCCAAAAUAACCUUCAUUGCACUGUAAUGUCAGAGACAAGGGAAGAGCUCCAUGAACUCAAGAACAUUUCAUUAAUAAUUAUUAGUACAAUAUUAAUAAACUAUUAUUUACAUUAUUUAUAUUAAAUAAUUUAAGUAUUUCUAUUAAAUAAUUUAUUUAUAUAUUUAUGUUAAAUAUUUCUAUUAUAAUUUAAUUUAUUAUUUAUUUAUUAGUUCAAUGAGGCAUCUGUUUCUCCCUUUUCUCAUCUGGGAAGAGAAACAGAUGACCCAAAAUGCCAGUGCUUUUUCACCAGCUUUUUUUCAAAGGCAUUUCAAAUUCCUGCAGUCAGAGGAAUUGCUGAGGACAUGUCCCCUGUGGUUCACUACUAAUAUAUAGACAGGUUGGGUUUGUGGUUUUUUUUUGUUUUUGUUUUUGUUUUUUUGUUUGUUUGUGGUUUUUUUGUUUUGUUUUGUUUGUUUUUUGUUGUUGUUGUUGUUAUUGUUUGUUUGGGUUUUUUGUGGGUUUUUUUGCAUGAAGCUAUGCUGGCAGUCUGGAAAUUUGUGAGGAGGGUAAUGGAAUAUUGCAACAGCCCAGGAAACUGCAUAUUGUACUAGUAGAAAAAAAAUAGGAAGAGCAGAAACAAAGUUUCCUCCUCCUUUAGGCACAAAAUACACAAACAAAAGAUUUUGAAGAUGUACAGAUUGGCAUAGCAGAGGAGUUAGCACAUAAUCAAGGACAUUUUUAAAACCUGCUGAAAUGCCAUGAAAAUUCAGGGCUAUAAACACGUGGGAUGCUCCAAGUCUGAAUUGGAAUAUUCAGCACAUUCGUCACUGGGCUGGAAAAUGUUGCUGCUCUUCCAGUUUCAGGGGUUGAAGGACAACAGAAGCAUCUCAAACUCUGCUGAUUGCAGGGGUGUGUUUGGUUGGUUGGUUUUUUGGGGUUUGGUUGGGGUUUUUUUGGAUGUUAUUUUUAAUUACAGCAGAGUCAUUUUUUGGAGCCUGGUGUAAGGGCUGAGGCAGAAUCAGAGACACGAGACUACCAGAAAGAUGGCAAGGACAAUAUACAGGAUGAAUCAUUAAAUAAAAAUGUUCUUCCUUGUUGGAGAUGGACAUAAAGAAAUAUUAGCCAGCAAGUGAAGGAAUAUCAGCCAAGAGAA